rnacentral:rRNA from 1 species
CUGGCUCAGAACGAACGCUGGCGGCAUGGACUAGGCAUGCAAGUCGAACGAAGCAGCAAUGCUUAGUGGCGGAAGGGUGAGGAACGCGUGAGUAAUCUGCCCUCAAGUUGGGAAUAACAGCUGGAAACGGCUGCUAAUACCGAAUGUGGCUGCAAGACCGCAUGAUUUUGCAGUUAAAGAUUUAUUGCUUGAGGAUGAGCUCGCGUCCCAUUAGCUAGUUGGUGAGGCAACGGCUCACCAAGGCGAUGAUGGGUAGCUGGUCUGAGAGGAUGGUCAGCCACACUGGGACUGAGACACUGCCCAGACUCCUACGGGAGGCUGCAGUCGAGAAUCUUGGGCAAUGCGCGAAAGCGUGACCCAGCAAUGCCGCGUGCGCGAUGAAGGUCUUCGGAUUGUAAAGCGCUGUCAACCGGGACGAAAAAUGACGGUACCGGUGGAGGAAGCCACGGCUAACUACGUGCCAGCCGCAGC